rnacentral:rRNA from 1 species
UAGGGAAUCUUCGGCAAUGGACGAAAGUCUGACCGAGCAACGCCGCGUGAGUGAAGAAGGUUUUCGGAUCGAAAAACUCUGUUGUUAGAGAAGAAAAAGGACGUUAGUAACUGAACGUCCCCUGACGGUAUCUAACCAGAAAGCCACGGCUAACUCCGUGCCAGCAGCCGCGGUAAUACGUAGGUGGCAAGCGUUGUCCGGAUUUAUUGGGCGUAAAGCGAGCGCAGACGGUUUCUUAAGUCUGAUGUGAAAGCCCCCGGCUCAACCGGGGAGGGUCAUUGGAAACUGGGAGACGUGAGUGCAGAAGAGGAGAGUGGAAUUCCAUGUGUGGCGGUGAAAUGCGUAGAUAUAUGGAGGAACACCAGUGGCGAAGGCGGCUCUCUGGUCUGUAACUGACGCUGAGGCUCGAAAGCGUGGGGAGCAAACAGG